UCAUUACGGCCAUCGCUCCAAAAAGGAGGCCGAAAACGCCAAACAAAAAUAUUGAAAAAUAAUUCUCGACACCUGGACAAUCAAAUGACGAAUAAAGCAAGCCCCAAAUUGUCAGCCGACUAAAAGUCCCACAGAAUUGUGUUCAGUCCAUGAAUUAUACAAUGCGGCCGUGAAAGGGAUGCCUUUUGUAAGAUGUAAGAAUCCUACUCUUUCCGAACUGGAAAGAAUUGGUGAAUUGCAAGAAUUUCAGUUCAGUUCAGGUUCUAACUAUGGGGAAUUGCGCUAAAGCGGGCCUCACUGGCAAGAAUGGCAUCACCGACUGCCUGAGAGCGUCUUCAAAUUGUGUGCAAACCAGUGGAGUAUAGAGAAACACUUAAGAUUAUGGAGCAAUUCCGACUCAUUUGACAGAACUUCCACCCUUGACAUAUCAAUUACGCAAGCUUAGAAAAGAGAAAUCAUGUGAGGGCAGCGCGUACAUACGGGAAAAGGCAAUAAGUUGGAUAUUAAUUUUGCGUGAACCGGCCGUCAGUCGAUUGGAUUAGCAAGUCUCUUACAUGUUUACAGAUGGUUUUUAGACGAUGCAGAUGCAGGAGAUAUAACUUAAUGGUAUUGCGUACUGCCAUUCGGAAGGCUCGAGGACAAUCAAA